rnacentral:rRNA from 1 species
AGUGAACGCUGGCGGUAGGCCUAACACAUGCAAGUCGAACGGCAGCACAGUAAGAGCUUGCUCUUACGGGUGGCGAGUGGCGGACGGGUGAGGAAUACAUCGGAAUCUACUUUUUCGUGGGGGAUAACGUAGGGAAACUUACGCUAAUACCGCAUACGACCUACGGGUGAAAGCAGGGGAUCUUCGGACCUUGCGCGAAUGAAUGAGCCGAUGUCGGAUUAGCUAGUUGGCGGGGUAAAGGCCCACCAAGGCGACGAUCCGUAGCUGGUCUGAGAGGAUGAUCAGCCACACUGGAACUGAGACACAGUCCAGACUCCUACGGGAGGCAGCAGUGGGGAAUAUUGGACAAUGGGCGCAAGCCUGAUCCAGCCAUACCGCGUGGGUGAAGAAGGCCUUCGGGUUGUAAAGCCCUUUUGUUGGGAAAGAAAAGCAGCAGGUUAAUACCCCGCUGUUCUGACGGUACCCAAAGAAUAAGCACCGGCUAACUUCGUG